rnacentral:rRNA from 1 species
AGGAAUGUAUAGCAAUAGCUAGUGCAUCAUUGUAAAUUUGAUGCAAGAUUGACUAUGUUGAAUAAAAUUCUAGGUAGAGUUAUGAUAAUGACAUUUUCUGCCUAUGUGUCUUGACCAAAUUACGUGCCAGCAGUCGCGGUAAUACGUAGAAGACUAGUGUUAUUCAUGUUUAAUCGGUUUAAAGGGUACCUAGACGGCAGAUCAAGCUUUUCCAACAGAAAAAAAAUAAAAAGGACUAAUUUGCUAGAGUUACUUACGAGGGGGUUUUAAAGUACUGCUGGUGUAGAGAUGAAAUUCUGUCAUACCUCUUUCGAAAGAAAAUAAUGGCACAGGUAUAGGCGAAGGCAUCCCCUUAUGGGAUAACUGACGUUGAGGGACGAAGGCUUUAUAUAACGAACAGGAUUAGGUACCCUAGUAGUGGAAGCAGUAAAUGAUGAAUGUCAUAGAUUAGAUUAGUUUAUUCUAUAAAUGAAAGUGUAAGCAUUCCACCUCAUGAGUAAUUUGGCAACAUUGGAAUUGAAAUCAUUAGACCGUUUCUGAAACCAGUAGUGAAGUAUGUUGUUUAAUUUGAUGAUCCGCAAAAAACCUUACCACAAUUUGAAUAUUUAUAUAAUAUUUUUUCUUUAUUAAUUAAAAAUAAACAAAUUAUAAGUUAAUAAAGAGGCAAUAAGAUAUAUUUACAAGCGUUGCACGGCUGUCUUCAGUUAAUGUCGCGAGAUUUUGGUUAGAUCCAUUAAAUUAACGUAGACCCUUACUUUAUUCUU